rnacentral:rRNA from 1 species
GAUCAUGGCUCAGGAUGAACGCUAGCUACAGGCUUAACACAUGCAAGUCGAGGGGCAGCAUGAACUUAGCUUGCUAAGUUGAUGGCGACCGGCGCACGGGUGAGUAACGCGUAUCCAACCUUCCCCUUAGUAGGGCAUAGCCCGUAGAAAUGCGGAUUAAUACCCUAUGUUUUCCAAUGAGGACAUCUGAGCUGGAACAAAGGUUUACCGCUAAGGGAUGGGGAUGCGUCUGAUUAGGCAGCAGGCGGGGUAACGGCCCACCUGGCCUACGAUCAGUAGGGGUUCUGAGAGGAAGGUCCCCCCACAUUGGAACUGAGACACGGUCCAAACUCCUACGGGAGGCAGCAGUGAGGAAUAUUGGUCAAUGGGCGAGAGCCUGAACCAGCCAAGUAGCGUGCAGGAUGACGGCCCUAUGGGUUGUAAACUGCUUUUAUGCGGGGAUAAAGUUCACUACGUGUAGUGUUUUGUAGGUACCGCAUGAAUAAGGACCGGCUAAUUCCGUGCCAGCCGCCGC